rfam:Gossypium hirsutum cultivar TM-1 chromosome 11, whole genome shotgun sequence
AUGCCAUGAUGAGGGCACUUUCGUAAUAAUUCCUUGAACCGCUUCCAUGCCUAACAUAAAGCUUCUUCAUCACGUUGCUGAAAUAAAGUGAUUUCAUUUUAGAUCUU